rnacentral:rRNA from 1 species
AGUGAACGCUGGCGGUAGGCCUAACACAUGCAAGUCGAACGGCAGCACAGUAAGAGCUUGCUCUUACGGGUGGCGAGUGGCGGACGGGUGAGGAAUACAUCGGAAUCUACUUUUUCGUGGGGGAUAACGUAGGGAAACUUACGCUAAUACCGCAUACGACCUACGGGUGAAAGCAGGGGAUCUUCGGACCUUGCGCGAUUGAAUGAGCCGAUGUCGGAUUAGCUAGUUGGCGGGGUAAAGGCCCACCAAGGCGACGAUCCGUAGCUGGUCUGAGAGGAUGACCAGCCACACUGGAACUGAGACACGGUCCAGACUCCUACGGGAGGUAGCAGUGGGGAAUAUUGGACAAUGGGCGCAAGCCUGAUCCAGCCAUACCGCGUGGGUGAAGAAGGCCUUCGGGUUGUAAAGCCCUUUUGUUGGGAAAGAAAAGCAGCAGGUUAAUACCCCGCUGUUCUGACGGUACCCAAAGAAUAAGCACCGGCUAACUUCGUG